AGGACCCUCACGCUGGCCCUACCCCACCCUUUGACUCUGCUUCCUUACAGGUAGAUGAUGGCGGCUUGACUGAACAGAGUGUGGCCCAGGUUCUUCAGUCUGCCAAGGAACAAAUUAAAUGGUCGUUAUUGAAAUGAAGGCUGUGGAUUCAAGGCUCCCUGCCCCCCAGACCAUUUCCCCAAUCCUGGCAAAAGCCCAAAGAUCCCAGGGUCAAGAGAGACCCCUUUGCAUCCCCAGGUCCUCCCGGAACGGACUCCUAAGGUCUCCAGCCAGGGAUUCUGAGAUGCAAAGGUUUGGCCUCAGGAGAGUCACCUCUUCUCACGGCCCUGGCCUUAACUCAUAUCUUAGGCAUUCCUGGCCCCAGGGCCCUAAUAAACCUGCUUUUGUCUUCUG
rnacentral:sRNA from 1 species